UACGAAGGGUGCAAGCGUUACUCGGAAUUACUGGGCGUAAAGCGUGCGUAGGUGGUUUGUUAAGUCUGUUGUGAAAGCCCCGGGCUCAACCUGGGAAUGGCAAUGGAUACUGGCAAGCUAGAGUGCGGUAGAGGGUAGUGGAAUUCCCGGUGUAGCGGUGAAAUGCGUAGAGAUCGGGAGGAACACCAGUGGCGAAGGCGGCUACCUGGACCAGCACUGACACUGAGGCACGAAAGCUUGGGGAGCAAACAGG
rnacentral:rRNA from 1 species